CUCCUCAUCGCUGCCCCUGGGGUUAUCUGUGGGGUUUAUUUGAGCGCUGGUUUCACCAGACUCAAUCUCUCCAUUUACUGGACUAUGAGGUGAUGAUGACACCGAUGGACUGGCGGUUCAUCACUGGAUUGGAGUUUACAGGAGAGUCGGUGCCUUUAGUGGCUAACAUUUCACUGGCUGCAUUUCGAUCCCUAUUAGGAGUUCCUCCUUUGGCCCUCAAGGGUCAAGGUGUUCAUUUUAGCCCUUUUAACAUUGAUGCUUCGAGUGGAGCUUUGUCCGAGCCUCUUUAUGC
rnacentral:lncRNA from 1 species